rnacentral:rRNA from 1 species
CGGGGGGGGCAAGCGUUGUUCGGAAUUACUGGGCGUAAAGGGCGCGUAGGCGGUUGGAUAAGUCAGCUGUGAAAACCACGGGCUUAACUCGUGGCCUGCAGUUGAGACUGUCUGGCUUGAGUGUGGGAGAGGAGAGUGGAAUUCCUGGUGUAGCGGUGAAAUGCGUAGAUAUCAGGAGGAACACCGGUGGCGAAGGCGGCUCUCUGGACCACAACUGACGCUGAGGCGCGAAAGCUAGGGGAGCAAACAGGAUUAGAUACCCUGGUAGUCCUAGCUGUAAACGAUGGAUACUUGCUGUGGGGGGUGUUAAAUCCCCCCGUGGCGGAGCUAACGCAUUAAGUAUCCCGCCUGGGGAGUACGGUCGCAAGGCUG